CUGGCGCCGCUUAUAAUGCAAGUCGAGCGAGAACCAGGGCUUCGGCCCUGGGGACAGCGGCGAACGGGUGAGUAACACGUGGGUAAUCAACCCCCGACACCGGGAUAGCCCGGGGAAACCCGGAUUAAUACCGGAUGCCCCGUCUGGCCUUAGGGCCGGCCGGAAAAGGGUAGCUUUGGCCUCUGGUCGGGGACGAGCCCGCGGCGGAUUAGCUUGUUGGUGAGGUAACGGCUCACCAAGGCGACGAUCCGUAGCUGGUCUGAGAGGACGAUCAGCCACACUGGGACUGAGACACGGCCCAGACUCCUACGGGAGGCAGCAGUAGGGAAUCUUGCGCAAUGGGCGAAAGCCUGACGCAGCGACGCCGCGUGAGGGAAGAAGGCCUUCGGGUUGUAAACCUCUUUCAGGAGGGACGAAGCCACUCGGGUUAAUAGCCUAGAGGGUGACGGUACCUCCAGAAGAAGCCCCGGCUAACUACGUGCCAGCAGCCGCGGUAAUACGUAGGGGGCAAGCGUUGUCCGGAUUUAUUGGGCGUAAAGAGCGUGUAGGCGGCCAAGCAGGUCAGCUGUGAAAACUCGAGGCACAACCUCGAGACGUCGGUUGAAACCGCUUGGCUAGAGUCCGGAAGAGGAGAGUGGAAUUCCCGGUGUAGCGGUGAAAUGCGCAGAUAUCGGGAAGAACACCCGUGGCGAAGGCGGCUCUCUGGGACGGUACUGACGCUGAGACGCGAAAGCGUGGGGAGCGAACAGGAUUAGAUACCCUGGUA
rnacentral:rRNA from 1 species